rnacentral:rRNA from 1 species
GACGAACGCUGGCGGCGUGCCUAACACAUGCAAGUCGAACGGAGAUACGAUUUCGGUUGUAUCUUAGUGGCGAACGGGUGAGUAACGCGUGAGCAACCUGACUCUUAGAGGGGGAUAACACCUGGAAACAAGUGCUAAUACCGCAUAAGACCACGACAUGGCAUCAUGACGAGGUCAAAGGAGCAAUCCGCUGAGAGAGGGGCUCGCGUCCCAUUAGAUAGAUGGCGGGGUAACGGCCCACCAUGUCAGCGAUGGGUAGCCGAGCUGAGAGGCUGAUCGGCCACACUGGAACUGAGACACGGUCCAGACUCCUACGGGAGGCAGCAGUGGGGAAUAUUGGGCGAUGGGCGCAAGCCUGACCCAGCAACGCCGCGUGAGGGAAGAAGGCUUUCGGGUUGUAAACCUCUGUCCUUGGUGACGAAAAAAAUGACGGUAGCCAAGGAGGAAGCCCCGGCUAACUACGUGCCAGCAGCCGCGGUAAU